rnacentral:rRNA from 1 species
GACGAACGCUGGCGGCGUGCUUAACACAUGCAAGUCGAACGGAAAGGCCCUGCUUUUGUGGGGUGCUCGAGUGGCGAACGGGUGAGUAACACGUGAGUAACCUGCCCUUGACUUUGGGAUAACUUCAGGAAACUGGGGCUAAUACCGGCUAGGAGCUCCUGCUGCAUGGUGGGGGUUGGAAAGUUUCGGCGGUUGGGGAUGGACUGGCGGCUUAUCAGCUUGUUGGUGGGGUAGUGGCUUACCAAGGCUUUGACGGGUAGCCGGCCUGAGAGGGUGACCGGCCACAUUGGGACUGAGAUACGGCCCAGACUCCUACGGGAGGCAGCAGUGGGGAAUAUUGCACAAUGGGCGGAAGCCUGAUGCAGCAACGCCGCGUGCGGGAUGACGGCCUUCGGGUUGUAAACCGCUUUCGCCUGUGACGAAGCGUGAGUGACGGUAAUGGGUAAAGAAGCACCGGCUAACUACGUG